rnacentral:siRNA from 1 species
CACGCUGUUGAUGCGGCAUGAUCA